UGAUAAUUAUGAGGACAACUAAUGAGCAAUGAUUUAAAUCUGUCCCAUGAUUGGUAUAAAUUCUCUCCACAUUUUUGCUUGAAACUCAAAAUUUCAGCUCUUAAUUU